AUGAACGCUUGCGGCGUGCCUAAUACAUGCAAGUCGAGCGAACAGACGAGGAGCUUGCUCCUCUGACGUUAGCGGCGGACGGGUGAGUAACACGUGGAUAACCUACCUAUAAGACUGGGAUAACUUCGGGAAACCGGAGCUAAUACCGGAUAAUAUAUUGAACCGCCUGGUUCAAUAGUGAAAGACGGUUUUGCUGUCACUUAUAGAUGGAUCCGCGCCGCAUUAGCUAGUUGGUAAGGUAACGGCUUACCAAGGCGACGAUGCGUAGCCGACCUGAGAGGGUGAUCGGCCACACUGGAACUGAGACACGGUCCAGACUCCUACGGGAGGCAGCAGUAGGGAAUCUUCCGCAAUGGGCGAAAGCCUGACGGAGCAACGCCGCGUGAGUGAUGAAGGUCUUCGGAUCGUAAAACUCUGUUAUUAGGGAAGAACAAAUGUGUAAGUAACUAUGCACGUCUUGACGGUACCUAAUCAGAAAGCCGCGGCUAACUACGUG
rnacentral:rRNA from 1 species